rnacentral:rRNA from 1 species
GACGAACGCUGGCGGCGUGCUUAACGCAUGCAAGUCGAACGGAAAGGCCCUGCUUUUGUGGGGUGCUCGAGUGGCGAACGGGUGAGUAACACGUGAGUAACCUGCCCUUGACUUUGGGAUAACUUCAGGAAACUGGGGCUAAUACCGGAUAGGAGCUCCUGCUGCAUGGUGGGGGUUGGAAAGUUUCGGCGGUUGGGGAUGGACUCGCGGCUUAUCAGCUUGUUGGUGGGGUAGUGGCUUACCAAGGCUUUGACGGGUAGCCGGCCUGAGAGGGUGACCGGGCAGAUGGGGACUGAGAUACGGACCAGACGCCGACGUGAGACAGCAGUGGGGAGUAUGGCACAAUGGGCGUGAGCGUGCUGAAGCGACGCGGCGGGUGGGAUGACGGCCUGCGGGUGAUGAAAAGCAGUCGCCUGUGACGAAGCGGGAGUGACGGUAAUGGGUAAAGAAGCACCGGCUAACUACGUG